rnacentral:rRNA from 1 species
CACAGUGUAGCAAUACAUGGGUGGCGACCGGCAAACGGGUGCGGAACACGUACGCAACCUUCCUUCAGGCGGGGAAUAGCCCAGAGAAAUUUGGAUUAAUACCCCAUAAUAUUUUGAGAUGGCAUCAUCUUAUUAUUAAAGCUACGGCACCUGGAGAUGGGCGUGCGGCUGAUUAGGUAGUUGGCGGGGUAAUGGCCCACCAAGCCUACGAUCAGUAGCUGAUGUGAGAGCAUGAUCAGCCACACGGGCACUGAGACACGGGCCCGACUCCUACGGGAGGCAGCAGUAAGGAAUAUUGGUCAAUGGACGCAAGUCUGAACCAGCCAUGCCGCGUGGAGGAUGAAGGUCCUCUGGAUUGUAAACUUCUUUUAUCUGGGACGAAAAAAGGGUUUUCUAACUCGUCUGACGGUACCAGAUGAAUAAGCACCGGCUAACUCCGUGCCAGCAGCCGCGGUAAUACGGAGGGUGCAAGCGUUAUCCGGAUUCACUGGGUUUAAAGGGUGCGUAGGCGGGCAUUUAAGUCAGUGGUGAAAUGCCUGAGCUUAACUUGGGAACUGCCAUUGAUACUAUUUGUCUUGAAUGUCGUGGAGGUUAGCGGAAUAUGUCAUGUAGCGGUGAAAUGCUUAGAUAUGACAUAGAACACCUAUUGCGAAGGCAGCUAACUACGCGAAUAUUGACGCUGAGGCACGAAAGCGUGGGGAUCAAACAGGAUUAGAUACCCUGGUAGUCCACGCCCUAAACGAUGAUUACUCGACAUUAGCGAUACACUGUUAGUGUCUGAGCG